rnacentral:rRNA from 1 species
GACACUGAGGCUCGAAAGCGUGGUAGCAAACAGGAUUAGAUAUCCUUGGUAGUACACGCCGUAAACGAUGUCUACUAAGUCGUUGGGUCCCUUGAGGACUUAGUGACGCAGCUAACGCAAUAAGUAGACCGCCUGGGGAGUACGGCCGCAAGGUUAAAACUCAAAUGAAUUGACGGGGGCCCGCACAAGCGGUGGAGCAUGUGGUUUAAUUCGAUGCAACGCGAAGAACCUUACCUGGUCUUGACAUACACAGAAUCUUGUAGAGAUACGAGAGUGCCUUCGGGAAUUGUGAUACAGGUGCUGCAUGGCUGUCGUCAGCUCGUGUCGUGAGAUGUUGGGUUAAGUCCCGCAACGAGCGCAACCCUUGUCCUUAGUUACCAGCACUUCGGGUGGGAACUCUAAGGAUACUGCCAGUGACAAACUGGAGGAAGGCGGGGACGACGUCAAGUCAUCAUGGCCCUUACGACCAGGGCUACACACGUGCUACAAUGGUAGGUACAGAGGGCAGCUACACAGCGAUGUGAUGCGAAUCUCAAAAAGCCUAUCGUAGUCCAGAUUGGAGUCUGCAACUCGACUCCAUGAAGUAGGAAUCGCUAGUAAUCGCGGAUCAGAAUGCCGCGGUGAAUACGUUCCCGGGCCUUGUACACACCGCCCGUCACACCAUGGGAGUUGAUUGCACCAGAAGUGGUUAGCC